rnacentral:misc_RNA from 1 species
AACACUGUUAACCUGCGGUACCUGCGGAAGGAUCAUUACGAGAGUGUCACCACUCCCAACCCAUUGUUUACCUACCCGUCCACCGUGCUUCGGCAGGCAGCCCUGUGGGACAGAGCCUCGCCCCCUUUCGCGGGGGGUGCCUGCCGCUUGCCAACCAAAACUCUAGCUGUUUUAGUACCAUCUGAGUCUUCCACAAAUGAACAAAACUUUCAGCAACGGAUCUCAGAUCGGAAGAGCACA